GAUGAAGAAACCGAGGCUAGGAGGGUUCAAUGACCUGCCUAACAUUGCCAGCUAGUUAGUGACAGUUAAAUCCCAUACUUAAAAUUCGGACUAUCUGACUCCAAAAUCUUCUCACCAUCUAAGAGGUAUCAUAGGGAGGUUCUUAAUUUUUUCUGUGUGAGCAAAGGGGUCUAGAAAGAGGCAAUGAAAUUUUCACCUGGCAAUUUGGGGAUCAAGUCACCACUCAAACUUGAGUGUUAUGGGCUCCAAUUCUGAUUUAUUCCAGAACUUGUGUGAGUGCAUCUGUGGGAGGGCAUGUGCAGGGUGGGGGAGAGGGCCCCUUGUGUGUGCCCUAGCCUGAUAGAUGCCAUGCUCUGCUUCUCCAGCUUCCUGCUGCAGGCCUGGGGAGGGCUGGGGGUCUGGGAGUGGAUGUGCCCCAGAGGCCAGGGGGUGGAGGCUACAUGGCCCUUGCACUGCCACAGUUCUCGGCUCCAGGUUGACUCUUGCUCCCUUUGUGCCUUCCCUUUCCUCCUUACUCGGGCCACACAGUGGAAGAAGUGGACAACACAGUGACACUCAUCAUCCUGGCUGUUGUGGGCGGGGUCAUCGGGCUCCUCAUCCUCAUCCUGCUGAUCAAGAAACUCAUCAUCUUCAUCCUGAAGAAGACUCGGGAGAAGAAGAAGGAGUGUCUCGUGAGCUCCUCGGGGAAUGACAACACGGAGAACGGCUUGCCUGGCUCCAAGGCAGAGGAGAAACCACCUUCAAAAGUGUGAGCCCUGCUUCGGGCUGAGCAGCUGCAGGGAGCCCCCUUUCUGAUGAUGAAACUGAUGCUUGAGCCCCGACCGUAGAACCCACGUGCCUGAGACAUCUGCUGCUUGGCUCAAACUGUAGUCUUUCCGGGCACAAGAAACCGGAGUCCUGCCCAGCCUGCCCGUCCCCUUCCCAGUCAGGGCUCCCCAGGGACAAGGGAUGGCCAGGGGAGGGGGUCUGUGGAAGAUUCAGGAGAAAGAAAGGAGAGGCUGGGGUGGUGUGGAGGGGCUGGUCCCCUGACACCUGGGCAGAUGGGGUCUCCUUCAGUCUCCCUACCCUGCACAAGCAGGGCCUUGGUUUUCCUCCAGGCUUCUCUUCACAAGAGACUGGGAGAUGGGGUGUAAGAGCUGCGCCCUGGGGUGUAGGAAGAAGUGGCUUCCUUUGGAGGUCGGAGUGGGCUG
rnacentral:sRNA from 1 species